UUUUUUGGACCAUUCGGUUCGUAUUUUAUAAACUAAAACACGCAUGUGUCGAUCUUACAGGGGUAUCCCCUCUCGUGGGCCUGAGGGCUGGGGGUUUUACAGCGGGACAUGCUGCUUUAAAAGCAGCCACAAGCAAAGUCACCAAACAUGAGAGAUCGUGCAUGGAAAAUCAACAUGUGUUCAUACCAUUUGCAUUUGAUACGUUUGGUUUCCUCGCACCGGAUGCGAUAGAGCUUCUUAAAAGAGUACAAUGAAUCAUGCAUAGUAAUGUUAUAUCUCCUAGCACCCCGCUCCCGAGUUGUAGCAAAAAAAAGAAGAGAAGAUAAAAGAAAGUAAGGAAAGAAAAGAAGAGAAAAUAAAGGAAAAAGAAAUUAUCAUUUGUGCUCCCGAGUUGGAGAGAAAUGGAAAGAAAGUUAAACAUUUUGUUCUUUCUUUUCAAAUCCUCCCAAAUUGGGAGGAAAGUUAUGAGGGAAAGUUUUCCUUCCAUUUCCUUCCAUUUCUUUCCUUUAAUGAAACUCGGGAGCACCAUUCUCUCUUACUUUCCUCUCAUUUCCUCCCAUUUACUUUCUUUUCUCUCUUUAAUUUAAACUCGAGAGCGGGGUGUAGAUCUCCGGAUGUAGUCUUUAAAAGAAUUAGUUUUACCAUUCAAAAAGGCUUAGCGGCACAGCUUGUUGCCCGUUUGUCAUUUCACUCAUUGUAUGAUGACAAUUGAACUUUUAGUUUAAUGGAAUUGAAUGUGAAUUUAAAAAAAAAAAAAAAAUCCAAAAUCCAAAAUAAUAAUUCGGUUUUGGUAAAAUCCAAUAAUUCAAAUAUGCUACCCAAAUAGUAUGAUUGUCACCUGCGUAAUUCGGUUUUAUAGGAACAGAACAACCUAUUAUUAUUAUGAUACAUUAUCUGCUUUCAUGAACUCCGAUUGUAACAGUUGUGAAACAAGACCCCUGAAAUGCCCACAGUCUCCUAUGGCUUCUUGUUCUCCGACUUUGGCCAUUUUGAAUUGUAUCACUAGAUUGGGAAAACAACACUUGUGGGUCCGAUUCCAUCAUCAUCAUCAUAUGGAAAUAAACUGAUUUCUUCAUUAUCUGGUGAUAGAGCCGUAGAGGAAACCAAAUACGACCAUAGUAAUAUAUCUGAUACAAUUUGGUGAAUGUGGUUAUAGGUUGUGACGGGGUGAAUCAGAAGGAUAUAUCUUAUGAUUAAAAUUCCCCCCAUUUUUUGUUUAACAUCAAGAUUACCACAAAAUCUGAUGUGAAGUCCAGCUUGUGUGACACUUUUGGUUUCAACAACAAAAGAGCCAUAGCUCAUCAGAGAAGGGGAGGACGAGAGUUGAGGUCAUCAGCCACCGACGAACUCCCUGUACCCUUGUUAUCCUCUAUUCAUCAUCUUAUCCCAGAUCUUUUAUUCAGCCGGGUCUCGCCUCAUGACCCAUUGGAAUCAAUAAAGAACCCUAAUUUUUCGUCAUUCACUGUCCACUGUCAUAAUUUGAGAGUGACCAAGUGAGAGAAAGCGUGAUUACGAGUAUUACCAGGAGAGAGAGCGUAUCAAUGUUGCCUCAUCUCGCCUACCGCAAUUCACUGUCCACUGUCAGUGCUGCUGCCUACCGCCUCCGUUUAACACCAGGUGAGAUGAGAAGCUCCUGGAGUUGUAUCAUGGGAAAUUGGGACUAAAUGUGGAUCCUGUAUUUGAGGAACUGCUGUGUACUAAGAAGAAGAUGAUCCACUUGUGAGAAGCUCCUUUUGGUUUCUUUCUAUACUGUAUGCAAUAGUACACCACAUCAUAUACUAUGUGUUUGUUUGUAGGAAUAAGCAGUGAUGAUCAUGCAAAACAUGUGAGGUGUGAUAAUUAUUAUUGCAGCAAUCAGUGAGUGGGUGAGUUGUACCAUUUAAUUUACUUUGAUCCAUCCAGCAACUGCAACAGUGUAGGGUUGUUUGUACACCUACCUGCAGUCUGCAGAAUAACUUACGAAUCAAUGAUCUGUGUGUACUUUUGUUUUUUGUAAGUGAACUAUUUUUCAUGUUGUAUUGUAUUGAAUUAUGAAUUUGAAGCAUUGUUAUCUUUAUGGCA